CCCUUAGAUGUCCGGGGCCGCACGCGCGCUACACUGAAGGAAUCAGCGUGGCUUUCUCCCUGACCCGAAAGGGUUGGGAAACCCGUUGAAUCUCCUUCGUGAUAGGGAUUGGGGCUUGAAAUUGUUCCCCAUGAACGAGGAAUUCCCAGUAAGCGCGAGUCAUAAGCUCGCGUUGAUUACGUCCCUGCCCUUUGUACACACCGCCCGUCGCUCCUACCGAUUGAAUGAUCCGAUGAAUAUCAUGGAUUGAGAGUACGAAUGGGUUCGCUCAUUUCUGCUGCUCGAGAAGUGAAGUAAAUCUUAUCAUUUAGAGGAAGGAGAAGUCGUAACA
rnacentral:rRNA from 1 species